rnacentral:tRNA from 1 species
GGGCAGGUGACGGAGCCUGGUAUACGUGGGACACUUAAAAUGUCCUGGCCGAAAGGCCUCGUGGGUUCGAAUCCCACCCUGCCCACCA